rnacentral:sRNA from 1 species
CUUUAAUCCUACACGUGAGAUAAAAAUACCUGUCCAGUUUAUUGAUCAGACAGAUGUUCGUGGGCACUGUUUAGCCUACACAGAUGGCGCGGUUCAUGACGAUCGUCGCGCGUUUAUGUCGUCUGCUUGCGUUUGUUGUCGUUGAGACCUUCAUCGCAAUUAUAGGGAAACACAUCCCAGCAUUAGAUCGAAUAGUGAUGAGAAACCAUAGGGCAGUCUUAAUGGAUAGCACCCUUAAAGAAGAGGACUGGAAAGAUUCCAUUUAUUCGUUUGCUCAGCUAAAGACAAUGACCAAAAAUAGCAUUUACGAUGUGUUUCGAGAUGCUGAACUGUAUCAUGACGCGCCAGAUGGUGACGUCAUCAAACGGGACCUUUCGAAAUCCCGUCUGCUCGAAUUUCAGAAAAAAGAUCGACCGCUUAUUCUCAAUUUUGGAAGCUGUACAUGACCACCGUUCAUGGGAAAGCUUGAGCAAUUCAAGAAAUUGGUUGCUCGCUUUAGUAACGUGGCCGACUUUUUGAUUGUUUAUAUAGCUGAAGCACAUCCAAGCGAUGGGUGGACGUUCAAAAAUAAUUUUGAUAUUCAUACGCAUAAGGGGAUUCAAGAUCGAAUGAAAGCGGUGGACUUACUGUUAAAACAUCAGCCAAUCUGUCCAGUGGUGGUAGAUGAUAUGUCCAAUGAUAUAAACUACAAAUACGGAGCAAUGCCAGAGCGUCUUUAUAUUGUUUUGAAUGGUAAGAUAGUGUACCUGGGGGAGAGGGGACCCCGGGGAUACCACGUGGAGGUGGUAGAAGAGUGGCUGACCAAAUAUACGUCAUAACUUGGGCGACUUAACGUGUGUGGAGAAGACGUUGAAUUAAAGUAGCUACAAUUCAUUUUCAAUUUGUAUAUCAAAAUUAAUUUUUAUCGCGUAGUUUUUGUCACAGGUCAACCGAUAAGUAUAUAUGAUCUAAAAGAAAGCACAUCAAUAUCAAAAUGUGAGUGUGUCGAAUAUGAUAUACUAGUGCAUUUGUUCUAAGCGUUUUAAUGUUUAAUCAUAGCGGGUUAUUUUUUUCUUUUCAUAGCAAUCAGUUGAUAAAGAUUGAAUUAAGUGGUAUCAGCAAGUCUGUUUUUCUAAUCCAGUUGUCUCCUCCAUGCACUCUGAUAAUACUUUUAAAACUUUUCAAAUGCAACGUACUGAUAUCAUCAAUGUUUGUGGUCAUCAAUUUUUCCAGGUUUUAAUGAAAAUCACAGUUCAAUUAACUUUCAAGGAUACGUACAUUUGUAUAUAUUGAGCCUAACAUGUUAUUAGAAAUUGCACUUCGGUGAACAUUUUGUUUCGUGGAUCAACUCAACAAAGAAACCCACGAAAAUUGGUGUUCAACAGAUAUCGAUGAAGCUACAGUAGCCUACAUCGUUACACUGAGUUUAUAUGUGCUGUGUAAUACAUUUUGCUCCUUUUUGGGUAUAACGUAUUUGUACAUAAAUAUACAGUAAAAUUUUUGUGUAUGAAUCAUUGGAGUCCUUUCCUGAUGUUUCGCCAUACCGUGUGAGUUCAUAAUCAAUGACAGCGUUUAUGAAGUCGUCCUCAAAAAUGUCUGAAAACGGGGACGGACUGAUCGCGUUACAAGCUGUCAUUAAUGUGAACUUUCAUGAUAUGGGGUGUACAUCUUUAGUUCCAAAUAAAUUGAUUCCAAAUAGC